rnacentral:rRNA from 1 species
ACACGACUACAUUAGAUACCCGCGUAGUCCUAGCCGUAAACGAUACUCGCUAGGUGUCGGCCACGGUGCGACCGUUGUCGGUGCCGUAGGGAAGCCGUGAAGCGAGCCACCUGGGAAGUACGGCCGCAAGGCUGAAACUUAAAGGAAUUGGCGGGGAGCACCACAACGGGUGGAGCCUGCGGUUUAAUUGGACUCAACGCCAGGAAGCUCACCGGAUAAGACAGCGGAAUGAUUGCCGGGCUGAAGACCCUGCAUGACCAGCUG